rnacentral:rRNA from 1 species
CCUACGGGUGGCAGCAGUGAGGAAUAUUGGUCAAUGGACGCAAGUCUGAACCAGCCAUGCCGCGUGCAGGAAGACGGCUCUAUGAGUUGUAAACUGCUUUUGUACGAGGGUAAACGCAGAUACGCGUAUCUGUCUGAAAGUAUCGUACGAAUAAGGAUCGGCUAACUCCGUGCCAGCAGCCGCGGUAAUACGGAGGAUUCAAGCGUUAUCCGGAGUUAUUGGGUUUAAAGGGUGCGUAGGCGGUCGGAUAAGUUAGAGGUGAAAUUCCGAGGCUCAAAAUCGGAAUUGCCUCUGAUACUGCUCGGCUAGAGAGUAGUUGCGGUAGGCGGAAUGUAUGGUGUAGCGGUGAAAUGCUUAGAGAUCAUACAGAACACCGAUUGCGAAGGCAGCUUACCAAGCUACUUCUGACGUUGAGGCACGAAAGCGUGGGGAGCAAACAGGAUUAGAUACCCGAGUAGUC